rnacentral:rRNA from 1 species
GAUGAACGCUGGCGGCGUGCCUAACACAUGCAAGUCGAACGGAGUCCACCCUUUAAGACCUUCGGGUCAAAGAGGGGAAGACUGAGUGGCGGACGGGUGAGUAACACGUGGGCAACCUGGCUCAUAGAGGGGGAUAACAGAGAGAAAUUUCUGCUAAUACCGCAUAAGCACACACUGCCGCAUGGCAGAGGGUGAAAAGAGAAUCGCUAUGAGAUGGACCCGCGUCUGAUUAGCCAGUUGGCAGGGUAAGAGCCUACCAAAGCGACGAUCAGUAGCCGAUCUGAGAGGAUGAACGGCCACAUUGGGACUGAGACACGGCCCAAACUCCUACGGGAGGCAGCAGUGGGGGAUAUUGCACAAUGGGGGGAACCCUGAUGCAGCGACGCCGCGUGAGUGAAGAAGUAUUUCGGUAUGUAAAGCUCUAUCAGCAGGGAAGAUAAUGACAGUACCUGAAUAAGAAGCCCCGGCUAACUACGUG